AAGGAAGUAUUACCAUAAUGUUACCUUUGGAGUACCAAGGGGACAUGUAGACCUGGGGGUGUUCCAAUUCUUGACAGGGGUGAUGAUUAUUUAAGUUUAAAUUGAUUCGCAACAUUUAUGUCCCCUACACACUUUGUAUUAUGUUUUACAAUGAUUUUUUUUUCUUUUUUCUUAAAAAGGACAUGGUAAAAGCAGCUGUUUUUACAUGAUUUCACAUGAAUGACAUAACUAAUCCAGUACCAUAUCCAAUUGCUUAAAAUGCCUUGUCUUGAACAACCCAGAGAAAAGACAAGAUAAUGGGCCUAGGAGGGCCCUGGGGUGAUGGUGACACCAUCUCUUUCAUACAUAAUUUGAUUCAAAAUAUUUACAUAAAACCAGACUGGAGAAAGCUGGAGACAGCCAUUUGGAGCACGUUCUUUGGGCUGCGGACUCUGGAGUCUAUCAUGCUCGGCCACUCCGGUGCAGAUGAAGCCGCUGGGGCCCGAAGGGAUGUCACUCCCUGGAUAAGCUGCUCGGGUUUCACGUUCUGCCACCACCGAUUCGUGUCCAGCCGUGGUGGUUUUCCGCGCAGGAACUGAACGAACCUUUGGUGUUUCACCUGGACCCCUGGCUGGUAGACCCAAUUUUUGGCCAAGACGGAACCGUACUCUCGGAAAUGGAGUGGAUGAGCCAGGCUUUGCUGAGGGUGGACCCAACCGACACCAGGGAACUAGUCGAAAUCACCGUGUUUGGGCAGCCCGGCGUGAAGACUCGGGUAAAGAACAUUCUCCAGAGCCUGGCAGUGUGGUUCCGAGAACUUCGUGACCAACGGGCUAAGAAGAUAAAACGCCUUGAGGAGUUCUUGAAGGCUCAUUCACCAUAUCCAGAAACUAUCCAGCAUCCAGUUUAAUACAAACAAGAUGGCAAUAAUUAGACCAAUGAGGACAGCCUGCUGAAGAGAUGGAAGACAAGUAUUCUUAAAUCUCUACAUUACUUUUUCCUGUGCCUUUUGAAUAGUGGUUUAUUUUGUGGUAAAUGUAUUUGUAGAACUAUUCUAAUGAAAUUUGUCUGGAAUAGUCUUUUCACGUGAAAUAAAGCAAAUUUACAAAAAAAAAUAUUUACAUAAAAC
rnacentral:lncRNA from 1 species